CCUACGGGUGGCUGCAGUAGGGAAUAUUGGACAAUGGGCGCAAGCCUGAUCCAGCCAUCCCGCGUGAAGGAUUAAGGCCCUAUGGGUUGUAAACUUCUUUUCUCUGGGAAUAAACAGUGGGAUUCUUCCCGCCUUGAAGGUACCAGCGGAAUAAGCACCGGCUAACUCCGUGCCAGCAGCCGCGGUAAUACGGAGGGUGCCAGCGUUAUCCGGAUUCACUGGUUUUAAGGGGUGCGUAGAUGGCUUUGGAGAAAUGCCGCAGCUCAACUGCGGAACGGCCAUUGAUACUGUUUAGCUUGAAUCACGUCGAGGUGGAUGGAAUAUUACAUGUAGCGGUGAAAUGCUUAGAUAUGUAAUAGAACACCGAUUGCGAAGGCAGUUCACUAGGCGUGCAUUGACACUGAGGCACGAAAGCGUGGGGAUCAAACAGGAUUAGAUACCCCUGUAGUC
rnacentral:rRNA from 1 species